GACGAACGCUGGCGGCGUGCUUAACACAUGCAAGUCGAACGGGAAGGCCCGGCUUUUGUGGGGUGCUCGAGUGGCGAACGGGUGAGUAGCACGUGAGUACCCUGCAAUUGCCUUUGAGAUAUCUUCAGGCAACUGGGGCUAAUCCCGGCUAGGAGCUACUGCUGCAUGGUGGGGGUGGGAUGGAUUAGGUGGUUGGGGAUGGAAUCGCGUCUCAUUAGCUUGUUGGUUGGGUAGUGGCUUAGCAAGGCUAGGACGCGUAGCCGGGCUGAGAGGGUGAGCGGCCACACUAGGACGGAGAUAAGGCACAGACUACAAUGGUACGCAGCGGUGGAGAAGAGUACACUGUGGGCGGAGGCCUGAUGCAGCACCGCCGCGUGCGGGAUGACGGGCUUCGGGUUGGAUAGCGCAGUUGCCUUUGUCGAAGCGUGAGUGACGGUAACGGGUAAAGAAGCACCGGCUAACUACGUG
rnacentral:rRNA from 1 species